ACAAUUUUUAGAGGGUUUUUUUAUCUGUUGCUGCAGAAAUAACAGUCUUAUGGUCACGGAUGCAUCACUAACAAAGAUAACAAACGAAGAUGCAGAUUUCCAUAAAAUUCACAUUUGCUAAUUUACAUGUAUAGACGUAGAUUUAGAAAACAUCACUAGAACUUACCAUAAAGGGAAGAUGUGAUCCCCAGAAUACUUCCUCUAUAAAUAGUCCUCUAUGAAGUACGACACAGUCAUCCUUGGAGGAGCGCCUAUCGGGGCCUAUUGGUGCUGGCAGCCUGUGGAUGAGUCUGGUUCAGAAGGCGUCCCGUCCCACCUGUGCUUUGGGGAGCUAUGCCGGAGCAUAGGAGUCUUUUGACCCUUACCCAGGAAUACAGGGCUAAUACCGAUCCUCCAAGAUUAUGAUUUGGGGAUUUGCUGUGUCUGUGUCAAAGGUUAUGUUGACUCAUUCUGUUCCUCUCCUGAUGGCAGUCUCUUAAAUUGAAACCUUUGAGAUACUCGUCAAAAUGAACCAUCGCUUUCUGCUUUAUAGUCUAUUUGACAACAGGCUCUGGAGAAUAUUUGUCUACAGGCUCUUCAGAUUCUUGGAGCACAACAAAAAACUGCACAAUGAUCCUUACGGAAAGUGAAGUGAAGAUCAAUUGUCUGGCUUGUGUUUUUGUCAAGUGUGCAUCCAUAGAGAAAAGUUGAAGAGGUAUCCCAAGGAGACAUUUAUAAAAGAAUUUGAUUUGACUGUUUUUAAAAAACACAAAACUAAAUGUGACAUGGCAUCAUUGAAGUCUGACGACGGAUGUUGGGCCUUUCAAAGGCUCCAUUGAGAUUUAGUUUAGUUUAGUUUAAUUUCAUUUAUAAACCGCCCAUAACCAAGGGCUCCCUUUGAACACAAAGCCGUGCAAUUUCCUUUUUGUGUGUGUUUUAACUGUUCCUUUUUUUAAAAUACACAGCAGUACUUAUAUUUUCAUACAUUACUCCUUUUUGUAUAGUGU